rnacentral:rRNA from 1 species
AGAAACCAACAGGGAUUGCCUUAGUAACGGCGAGUGAAGCGGCAAUAGCUCAAAUUUGAAAGCUGGCCCCUUCGGGGUCCGCGUUGUAAUUUGUAGAGGAUGAUUCGGCGAGGGCUCCCGUCUAAGUCCCUUGGAACAGGGCGUCAUAGAGGGUGAGAAUCCCGUAUGUGAUGGGCUGCCUUAGCCAUGUGAAUCUCCUUCGACGAGUCGAGUUGUUUGGGAAUGCAGCUCUAAAUGGGAGGUAAAUUUCUUCUAAAGCUAAAUACCGGCCAGAGACCGAUAGCGCACAAGUAGAGUGAUCGAAAGAUGAAAAGCACUUUGGAAAGAGAGUUAAAAAGUACGUGAAAUUGUUGAAAGGGAAGCGCUUGCAGCCAGACUUGUCCGCAGUUGCUCAGCUUGUCUCCUGACAGGCGUACUCUUCUGCGGCCAGGCCAGCAUCAGUUCGGGCGGUCGGAUAAAGACCUAGGGAAUGUAGCUCCUCUCGGGGAGUGUUAUAGCCCUGGGUGCAAUGCGGCCAGCCUGGACUGAGGAUCUCGCUUCGGCUAGGAUGCUGGCGUAAUGGCUGUAAGCGGCCCGUCUUGAAACACGGACCAAGGAGUCUAACAUCUAUGCGAGUGUUUGGGUGUCAAACCCAUGCGCGUAAUGAAAGUGAACGGAGGUGGGAACCCUCACGGGUGCACCAUCGACCGAUCCUGAUGUCUUCGGAUGGAUUUGAGUAAGAGCAUAGCUGUUGGGACCCGAAAGAUGGUGAACUAUGCCUGAAUAGGGUGAAGCCAGAGGAAACUCUGGUGGAGGCUCGCAGCGGUUCUGACGUGCAAAUCGAUCGUCAAAUUUGGGUAUAGGGGCGAAAGACUAAUCGAACCAUCUAGUAGCUGGUUCCUGCC